GGGAGGUAGGGGGUCUCAUUAAGGGAUGUCACUAGCAUGAAUGGAACUGCUUAAUCAUUCCAGCACAGAGCACCCAUGCCCCAGAUGCUGGCUGCUAGCGGCUCACAUGCUUGUUCAUUUAUUGAAAGCACUAUCCUUGGUUACAAAGAGCCUCUUGGUGGAUGAUGCCUGGGACAUUUUACCCUACCCUGGGGCAGUGCAUGGCAUUUGGUUGACAGAUGGGAGAGUGUAACAGCUCAGCCCCUUUAGCUGGGCAGGACAACCUCUGAGAUGCAGCAGAUGCUGCAGACCUCCCAGUGGGACCGGGUCUAGGCUAGACUAUUCCUAAACCCCAUCUUUGCCCAGCCCCUUCUGCCCCACACUGCUUCUCUCCUCAUCCCCACCCCCUCACUAUAGGUUUCUUCUCAGGGCUUUCCCUCAAUUAAUCAUUUGCACAAGAAUUCCAUCUCAGCCUCUGAGUCUAGAGAACCUAAGACAAGCCCCUUUCAUGGACAGUGUGCUGGGCAUGGGAGAUGGAGGAGGGCAUCCAGAAAAGAAGAGAACAGGGCUGAAGCUAGGACAGGGACCACAACCAUGUCGCCUUACUUUGCCCCAUCCUUCCCACCCUGAUUCUACUGUGCAGAUGCCAUGGAUGUGCCACUUAGAAUGCCAUCAAUUAUUGAAGAAGUUCCAAAAGAAGGGAAUGUAAGUGAAGAUGAAAGAUUCCAAUGGAAGACAGACUGGUCCCACUGCUUGGGGAGGACCUAAGCUAUCAUGUCUGGGAAAAAAGCAUUUUAGUUUCCUGCUGUGAGAAAGCUCCAAAUGCUUUGGAGGCUGAAGAAGCUGCCCUGACAAAGACAGGAAAGCGCGGGCGGGGCUGAUGGGUCUUUUUCAUCUCCCCCCUUUGCUGAUGAAGAGGCAGUGCUGUAAAAUGACGAAAUCAAGAAAGCACAGGACUCUGGCUCAGAACUGUUGGCAGGCACAACUGAGAAGCUAGAAUCUAAUAUCAUUGUUUUGCUUUAUUUAUGACAAGCAAUAUUGGUUUUCCAUUUAUGGUAGAGAUAUUAAGUUUCCCUUUGAAAUAAAUGUAUUUUUGAAGUUAAAACAGUGUUGAUUGAAAACAAAUACUAAAUAAAUAAUAAGUAGCUUGUGGGUAUGUGCAAGUCAUGAAAACGGUACCCAAAUUACUGCAAUCUGGGAACACCUCAUAGACCAAGCAAGUAGGAAGAGGCUCCUGGAAGGGAAAAUGCAGAUUCCUCUCCUUUCCUGUCUAGGGAGGAAAAAGGACUGGUUUAGGCCCUGCUCCAAAUAAAAGACAUGGUCACAAUCCUCUAAGAUGGUGCUUUUCAGGCCAAGGCCCAGAGACUGAUGCCAAUCCAAAGUGAUAUUUUCAAAUCAUUUGUGAGAAGAAAAAAUAAGGACCGUGUAUAUGUCAGUGUAAGAAGGCCAACUAUUCUUUCUUAGAUUCCCAUCUGUGACUUGAUAAAUAUUUGAUGCAGUGGCCAGUCAACAUCCCUACAUUAGUGAAACUUCUGCCCAGGAGCAACUGCACAGCUCUCAGCAAUGAGAUCGGAAACUGAAGGUUUCCACUAAAAGAAACUGAAUCUCCUUGGAGAAAUGGCUGAUUCAAUGUCUGGAGCAAAGAAAGUGCAAGAUGAGCCUGGGACCUCCUCUGCUACAGAAUCGUGAAAUAAGUAAAGAAGCACUCAAAACCAACAGGCAUAUGUCAGAAGGACACAGAGACCAACUGGAAGGGGCUCCCGUUGGCCUAAUUUGGGACAAAUUGAGAAUUGAAAAGAAAACCGAUGGUAAUGAUUUUUCCUAGUUGACAGUGAUACUCAAGAACAUUAAAAGUAGAUAAGCAAAUAUCUUCGCAUCUGGUCUCCAAUGUUAUUAUCAUACAUCCAC
rnacentral:lncRNA from 1 species